rnacentral:rRNA from 1 species
GAUGAACGCUGGCGGCGUGCUUAACACAUGCAAGUCGAACGAAGCACUUUAUUUGAUUUCCUUCAGGACUGAUUAUUUUGUGACUGAGUGGCGGACGGGUGAGUAACGCGUGGGUAACCUGCCUUGUACAGGGGGAUAACAGUUGGAAACGGCUGCUAAUACCGCAUAAGCGCACGGCAUCGCAUGAUGCAGUGUGAAAAACUCCGGUGGUAUAAGAUGGACCCGCGUUGGAUUAGCUGGUUGGUGAGGUAACGGCCCACCAAGGCGACGAUCCAUAGCCGACCUGAGAGGGUGACCGGCCACAUUGGGACUGAGACACGGCCCAAACUCCUACGGGAGGCAGCAGUGGGGAAUAUUGCACAAUGGGCGAAAGCCUGAUGCAGCGACGCCGCGUGAGCGAAGAAGUAUUUCGGUAUGUAAAGCUCUAUCAGCAGGGAAGAUAAUGACGGUA